GACGAACGCUGGCGGCGUGCCUAACACAUGCAAGUCGAGCGGAGGAUUCGAGAUGUUUACAUCGAAGGGUCCUUAGCGGCGGACGGGUGAGUAACACGUGGGUAACCUGCCUCAGAGUGGGGGAUAGCCUUUCGAAAGGAAGAUUAAUACCGCAUAAGAUUGCACUGCCACAUGGCAGAGCAAGAAAAGGAGCAAUCCGCUUUGAGAUGGACCCGCGGCGCAUUAGCUAGUUGGUGAGGUAACGGCUCACCAAGGCCACGAUGCGUAGCCGACCUGAGAGGGUGAUCGGCCACAUUGGAACUGAGACACGGUCCAGACUCCUACGGGUGGCAG
rnacentral:rRNA from 1 species